rnacentral:lncRNA from 1 species
UCCUUCGAACAUGUCACCACCACCUCAAUAUCCUACUGAUGACGCUUACCACCAGCCACCUCACUAUCCUACUGAUGACUCUUACCACCAGCCACCUCAAUAUCCUAAUGAUGACUCCUACCACCAGCCACCUCAAUAUCAUAAUGAUGACACUUACCACCAGCCACCUCACUAUCCUACUGAUGACUCUUACCACCAGCCACCUCAAUAUCCUAAUGAUGACUCCUACCACCAGCCACCUCAAUAUCAUAAUGAUGACACUUACCACCAGCCACCUCACUAUCCUACUGAUGACUCUUACCACCAGCCACCUCAAUAUCCUACCGAUGACACUUACCACCAGCCAC